CUUGGUAGGAUAAAUUCACCUUAUAAAAUUGAGAAUAAAGUACUUACACGAGUACAUUUAGUUUCCAGUGAUCAGUUUUCCAAAUACUUAUUUGACAAAAGAAAAAACAACUCACUCCUGUCUUUUAUUCUUAUGAUCAGAUUUCAAAACUCAGGUAUCACAGGAUUCCUACAGCGAAGGAUAACCCUACGUAUGAUACAGUCGAUGUCGUAAUUUGCUAUUGCGAAAUCACGGAUAUUACGGAAUUGAAAAACCAAUUACGAAAUCGUACCAAGAAAUACGUAAUUAUAGCAGGAAAUUUAGAUAAACCUUGGAAAAACGGAACACUAACGUGGAUAUCAGAUAUUGGAGAAUUGUAUUACGUUACGCCGAAGCAGCAUCAGUAUAAUGAAAAUCUAUAUAAUUUCUACGAAUCGGUGGAAAAUGAUACGAAACAAGCUUAUUUUAAAGAAUUCAGAGAACGAUAUCUCAAGAGAAAAUUCCAUUCUGAGAAUACAACAGAAAAAACAUCAAUUGGUUCAGAUACGUUCAGAGAUAGUUACAAUAAUAAUUCAAAUGCAGCUGUUAAUAUUAUCAAAUCACUUUACACAAUGGCUCAUGCUAUAAAAAACAUUUUCGUUGAAAAAUACGGCCAGCUUUCUCGUUAUUAUGCAAGAGGACACCUCCGCGAUGUCAAUUUCAAAUUAUUCGAUGAAGAAGUGAGCUAUACCAAAUACAGAGGUCUGCCAAAACUAGAAAA